UACAGAGGCCACAAGCGUUAGUCGGAAUCACUGGGCUUAAAGGGUGCGUAGGCCGGUGUGUAAGCGUCCUGUGUAAGCCCGCGGCUCAACCGCGGAACAGCAGGGCGAACUGCACAUCUUGAGGCAGGUAAGGGUCGCUGGAACUCUAGGUGGAGCGGUGAAAUGCGUAGAUAUCUAGAGGAACGCCGAUGGUGAAGACGAGCGACUGGGCCUGUCCUGACGCUGAGGCACGAAAGCGUGGGGAGCAAACAGG
rnacentral:rRNA from 1 species